rnacentral:rRNA from 1 species
AUGCUUGGAUUCAAUAAUCGGUUUAUUGAGCACCAUACUGCGAGAAGUAAUUCUAAUUCGGGACGGAGGGAGUAUCAGCCUGUGGCUAACUCUGGCUUUGCAAUAAGAAAACACGCUGUAAGUAAUAAUAUGAAUAUGUCUGCUUUCUUCUGGUCGAUCUGGAGGUUCAGAAACGAUAUUUACUUUGGCCGGACUAAAUGGAUGGGCUUGCGGGAAUAUUUGUCGUCUGGUAAAAUGAUGGAGACUACUCUGCCCCAAGGGAAAAAAAAAUCAUCUGCCGGGCAGAUGCCUGCUGUUUAUUGA